rnacentral:rRNA from 1 species
GAUGAACGCUGGCGGCGUGCCUAAUACAUGCAAGUCGAGCGAACAGACGAGGAGCUUGCUCCUCUGACGUUAGCGGCGGACGGGUGAGUAACACGUGGAUAACCUACCUAUAAGACUGGGAUAACUUCGGGAAACCGGAGCUAAUACCGGAUAACAUGUUAAACCGCAUGGUUCACCAUUAAAAAACGUUUUUCCUGUACCUAAUAGAUGAAUCCGCGCCGCAUUAGCUAGUUGGUAAGGUAACGGCUUACCAAGGCAACGAUGCGUAGCCGACCUGAGAGGGUGAUCGGCCACACUGGAACUGAGACACGGUCCAGACUCCUACGGGAGGCAGCAGUAGGGAAUCUUCCGCAAUGGGCGAAAGCCUGACGGAGCAACGCCGCGUGAGUGAAGAAGGUCUUCGGAUCGUAAAACUCUGUUAUUAGGGAAGAACAAAUGUGUAAGUAACUAUGCACGUCUUGACGGUACCUAAUCAGAAAGCCACGGCUAACUACGUG